rnacentral:rRNA from 1 species
CCUACGGGUGGCUGCAGUGAGGAAUAUUGGUCAAUGGACGGAAGUCUGAACCAUCCCUGCCGCUCGCAUUCCUCCUUCUCUCUUCUUUUUCCCCUUCUUUUUUCCCCUUUUACACCUGAAUACGUGUAUUCAGCUGAAAGUACUGUACGAAUAAGGAUCGGCUAACUCCGUGCCAGCAGCCGCGGUAAUACGGAGGAUCCAAGCGUUAUCCGGAUUUAUUGGGUUUAAAGGGUGCGUAGGCGGAUUGAUAAGUUAGAGGUGAAAUGUCCGAGCUUAACUCGGGAACUGCCUCUAAUACUGUUGAUCUAGAGAGUAGAUGCGGUAGGCGGAAUGUAUGGUGUAGCGGUGAAAUGCUUAGAGAUCAUACAGAACACCGAUUGCGAAGGCAGCUUACCAAUCUAUAUCUGACGUUGAGGCACGAAAGCGUGGGGAGCAAACAGGAUUAGAGAAAAAAGUAGUC